rnacentral:rRNA from 1 species
AUUGAACGCUGGCGGCAGGCUUAACACAUGCAAGUCGAACGAUGAAACCUAGCUUGCUAGGUGGAUUAGUGGCGGACGGGUGAGUACAACUUAGGAAUCUACCUUUUAGCGGGGGAUAGCUCGGGGAAACUCGAAUUAAUACCGCAUACACCUUACGAGGGAAAGGGGGCUUUUAGCUCUUACUAAAAGAUGAGCCUAAGCAAGAUUAGCUAGUUGGUGGGGUAAAAGCCUACCAGGGCGACGAUCUUUAGCUGGUCUGAGAGGAUGAUCAGCCACACUGGGACUGAGACACGGCCCAGACUCCUACGGGAGGCAGCAGUGGGGAAUAUUGGACAGUGGGGGCAACCCUGAUCCAGCCAUGCCGCGUGUGUGAAGAAGGCCUUUUGGUUGUAAAGCACUUUAAGCAGUGAGGAAAAGCUAUAUGUUAAUACCAUAUAGCCCUGACGUUAACUGCAGAAUAAGCACCGGCUAACUCUGUGCCAGCAGCCGCGGUAAUACAGAGGGUGCAAGCGUUAAUCGGAAUUACUGGGCGUAAAGAGAACGUAGGUGGUCAAUUAAGUCAGAUGUGAAAUCCCUGAGCUCAACUUAGGAACUGCAUCUGAUACUGAUUGACUAGAGUAGGUGAGAGGAGAGUAGAAUUCCAGGUGUAGCGGUGAAAUGCGUAGAUAUCUGGAGGAAUACCGAUGGCGAAGGCAGCUCUCUGGCAUCAUACUGACACUGAGGUUCGAAAGCGUGGGUAGCAAACGGG